rnacentral:rRNA from 1 species
AGAAUCAACGCUGGCGGCGUGCCUCAGACAUGCAAGUCGAACGCGAAAGUUUCCUUCGGGAAACAAGUAGAGUGGCGCACGGGUGAGUAACACGUAGGUAAUCUACCUUUGGAUGGGGAAUAACAACCGGAAACGGUUGCUAAUACCGCAUAAUGCAGCGGCACCUAAUGGUGACAGUUGUUAAAGCGGGGAUCGAAAGACCUCGCGUCUAAAGAGGAGCCUGCGGCGGAUUAGCUAGUUGGUAAGGUAACGGCUUACCAAGGCUACGAUCCGUAGCCGG